rnacentral:rRNA from 1 species
GCAAGUCGAACGGUAACAGGAAAUAGCUUGCUAUUUUGCUGACGAGUGGCGCACGGGUGCGUAACGCGUAUACAAUCUACCUUUUGCUGAGGGAUAGCCCAGAGAAAUUUGGAUUAAUACCUCAUGGUAUUAUUGAUAGGCAUCUAUUAAUAAUUAAAGGUUACGGCAAAAGAUGAGUAUGCGUCCCAUUAGCUAGUUGGUGAAGUAACGGUUCACCAAGGCAACGAUGGGUAGGGGUCCUGAGAGGGAGAUCCCCCACACUGGUACUGAGACACGGACCAGACUCCUACGGGAGGCAGCAGUGAGGAAUAUUGGACAAUGGGCGAGAGCCUGAUCCAGCCAUGCCGCGUGCAGGAAGACUGCCCUAUGGGUUGUAAACUGCUUUUAUACAGGAAGAAUAAGCCUUACGUGUAAGGUGAUGACGGUACUGUAAGAAUAAGGACCGGCUAACUCCGUGCCAGCAGCCGCGGUAAUACGGAGGGUCCGAGCGUUAUCCGGAAUUAUUGGGUUUAAAGGGUCCGUAGGCGGAUGAUUAAGUCAGGGGUGAAAGUUUGCAGCUCAACUGU